GUGAGUCGGGUAACCAUACUGAUACGACAACGAGACCUCCUUGACGUUAGUCAGACGUCGAAUGAUAUACAGAAUUUGUCACCCCAGGCGUGCCCGCCUAACUGUAGCUAGCAGUUAAGGUGUGGGAUUGUCAGUCCCGAAUAGAUCUAUUCACAAAUUCCUCGCUCUCCCUCCAGGAGACUCUGGUUACACUUCCGGAGAGGAUUUACAUAAUCAUCCAUAAAGGGUAGUGACUAUCUCACAAGCUAGUAUUAAACUAUUCACAGAAUUCUCAUACAAAACUAAACAUACAAAGAUUAUAAAACAUGAUACAGUGAAAAUAGAUACAUACAAUGAGAUUAUCUGACAAUAUAUUCAAAUAAUACAGAGAUAAACUGAAUCAGACAUAGUUUAUCUAAUAACUUUAUAUGGAUAUAAAACAAGCGUUAUAGAAUCCCAAAUUAUUCCCAUAAUAAUUUGAUUAGUUUGGUUAUUUUCUUAACUAAAAUCCAUUUAGCUGUAAUUGAUAAAUCAUUCCUUAUGCUCUACAUAAUACAUAAGGAGUAAAAGUAUUGAUAAAUUUGCCAGAUAUUAUUUGAAACACAUAAAUGUUAUGAUUUGAAAACAGUUAUGGUUUGCUUGUAUUCCCCCCUGAAAACAGUUAAAAACAGUGAAAAAGGCGUAGGGGUAUGAACUCACCGGACGAGAAGUAUGACGAUUUGGACGCUAAGAGUUGAUCCGGGGAUUGUAAAUACACGAGGUUCCUAAUUAUAAUGUAAAGAUACACAUUUGUAUCUAAUUAGGACUUAGUUUAUUUAUAUGUUAGGGACACUUGCUUCAAGUCGCGAAAACACUCCGAUACGAGUGUUUGGAGGGACCCGGGUGGCGUUUAAGGACGUGAAAUGACACUAGGGACUUGGGAGUUGAGUUUACUCCCCAUGAGUAAACUAAUAUAAGAGUUUUUGGUCUAAAACACCCAUUCCCCAUGAGUUUACGGCCGUAAACUCAUGGUGGGUGUGGUUUAUGGUGCUAAAUGACUUCAUACACUUAGGGAAUAAUUUCUAGACUUGGCUUAAGGACUUGAAAGGAUUUUAAAACAUAAAAUAGACCCUUAUAUGGGAGUUUACGGCCUAGAAUGGCUUCCUGGCCGUAAACUCCUAUUUUCUCAAGAAAAUGGUGUUAAAUGGUCCCAAAACAAAUCACAUGUGAUUAAUAGAAUUAUUCCAAUGCCUAACAUGAGUUUUAUGGGACAUUUGAGGGGUGUUAUGGAGUUUACGGCCUAUGAGACCCCCCUCAUGGCCGUAAACUCUUCUAUAGGGUGCUACAAGGUGUUUCAAGGUCUAAAACUUGCAUAGAAGGGCUUCUAAAAUUCAUCUAAAGGCUUUAGGGGUGUUUAGUUUGCAUUCUAACACCAUAAAUCUUGGAGUUUACGGCCCAAGAACAAGCCUUGGCCGUAAACUCUUAGAAAUCCCACAAAUGAUGUGUUUAAGGCCCUUAAACUAUUUUUGGUUGGUCCUUUGAUUUAUUCCAAGGCUUUUGGUGGUGUUGGAUGGCUUUCUAACACCUUAGAAUUGAAUUUAUGCCAAGUUUUGGGGAGUUUACGGCCCAAGCACUCACCUUGGCCGUAAACUCAUAUAAGUCCCUCAAAAAUCAUGUUUCAAGUGUCCAAAUGCCAAAACCAAGGUCCUAUAAUUCAUAUCUAAGCCAUAGAAGUGAUUUGGAAGGGUUUAAGGGCAUGAAAAACCCCAUUUACAUGAGUUUACGGCCCAAGCUUAUGCCUUGGCCGUAAACUCCUUCAAAUGACUCAAAAUCCAUGAUUUAAGUGUUGUAAUCCCAUAUCUUGAAGUCCCUUAGCCAUAUCUAAAGUCCAAAUGAGUUUAGGAAGGAGUUUAAGGGCUUAAAACCCUUCAAAAUGGUUUUUACGGCCUAGGCAGCCUCCUGGGCCGUAAACUCACAUAUGUAGUCCCAUUUCAUGAUUAAAUGUCAAAUUUGGAAGCCAAACAUGCUAUAGAUUAAGGCUAGGAAGGUACCUUAAGGAUUUGAGGCCUUAAAAUUGAGUUUUGGACACUUAAUCUUUGGAUUUAGGAGAGAGGUUAGAGAGAGAGUAGAGAGAGAAGGAAAAAGCUUCAAAUGAGAGGUUAAACAUGUUUAUAUAGUUCCUAAAACUUGGACACGGUGGAAUUCUACCCGAUACCGGCCUUAAACGAUGCUUUAGGUCGCACCCGAUUGAGUUUCCGUCACCCGACGAGGAUAUUUCUAAAACUUAUGAAAUAAAUGUUUUGGGCUAAAUUCAUGAGUUCCUAAAUGAUUUGGACCCUCAUUGAAUGAUAAUAAACAUAUAAUUUUAGUUAACUAAACCCAAAAACGAUAUCGGGACAUUUCGAUCUCCGACGAGUUAUACGGGUAGAAUGGGUUUUCGGCGAUGAACAACUUCGGGUUGUUACAUUAUCCCCCCGUUAGAGGGAAUUUCGUCCCGAAAUUCAAAGAAUAAGAUACAGGUCAUGGAUUGGAAUGAAACACGAAUGGAUUUGUUGCUUCGGAUCUUCACUUUCUCAAGUGGAAUCAGGUCUCUACUGGGCGUUCUAACGAAUUCUCAUUAUCGGGACAUGUCUUGGUUUCGCUUCUUGACUCUCUCUCAAUCUACGAUAUCAAUCUGCUUUCUCGUGGAAGUUCCAACCCUGAACGACUUCGGUUUCCUCAAAGGAAUCACUAGGGUUUCGUUGGGCAGACGCUUCUAAGGAUUCGAGACGUGAUGGUCUAGAUAGAUAUUACCAAGCUCUAAGGGCAUCCGAAACCUGAAGGUUGCAGAAUCGAUCUCUACGAAGAUCUCGAAAGGUCUGAUGUGAGACUAAACUAGACGCUCGAAAGAAACUCCCGGGAAUCCUUCGGGAUAGACAUUUAGAGGGAAGAGCUGCUAACUUCCCGUUUCUCAAUAAUCACAGAAACGAGGGAUGCGUGAUAAUUCACAUUGGGAAAACUUUUGAGUUCUAAGGCAUAGAAUGAUACGAAAGUUUGAUGCCGAAGAUCACGAGAACAGGGUCGAGGAAAAAUCUAGACGAGCGACCCUUUCGAAAGCAAAGAUAACAACAUGAAUGAGACUCGGUCAUUUCAUGUUAAACAUAGCAUCAAAGUAUUUUCAUAGAAAGUUUCCCCCUUUUUAAAUCGAAUGGAACAGAAUAGUCCUCCGGACUGAGGAUUCAAUCUAUAGGUACGAAGUUAAUGUUCUCUAUCUCACUAGUUAGUCGUCUCGACGGUAUACAUUUCGAUUACAUACGAAGGAUUGAGUUUAGAAUAUGUUCGAAUAGAUAGAUAACAGGUUUCCCUUUUUGCACCCAAAAUCGAAAAGAGUUGCAAGUAUAAGAAUUAUCAAAGAGAGAUAUACCUGCGGCAGCAGAGGGAUUUGUGGUUGUAGCUGUCUUGGGACAAUUCCUUUUGAAGUGCCCAGCUUCACCACAAUUGUAGCAGGCCGGACUGAUUCCCGUUCCGGAUGAUUGGUUUGUUGGCUUGGCUGGUUUUCUGCAGGUUCGCGCAAGAUGGCCCUUAUUGCCACAGUUGUCGCAGAUCCUUUCGCGACAUGGUCCAGGAAUGCGGUGGUGGUAGUUGCACUUACCACACCAAGGAAGGGUACCAGUGUAUCCACUGGCGGGAGUUUGGGCUGUGGAACCUACAGCUGAAACAGCAACAGGGGCAGUAGCAGCAUGGACUGCUACCGUUUGCUGUUUCUUAGAAGACCCUUGCGUACUCUGGGCCUUCCGCUUGUUCCAGGAUUUCUUUUUACUUCCGCCUCCACUAGUGACUGGCUCGGGGGUAGUAGCUUCUUCAUCAGAGUUGUCUUCGUGAUCUAUCAGGAUUUUCGCAAGGCACUUAGCACUGUCAUAUGUGUCUGGCUUCGCAGCCAAGACAUUCCCCUUUGUUGGCUGGGUCAACCCCCAGAUGAAUCUCUCUAUCUUUUUACUUUCCGGGGUAACCAUUCCCGGACAAAGUAGGGCCAGAUCGUCGAAUCUUGAGGUAUAAGCAGCUAUGUCAGAACCCUUCAUCUUAAGGUUCCAUAGUUCAUGUUCUAGCUUCUGAAGUUCGCCCCGAGGGCAAUACUCUGCGAGAAGAAGCUCCUUCAUAGCUUCCCAACCCAUAGCAUUGGCUACAGGUAAAGUUAAGGAUUUGACUCGGCCAUUCCACCAAGUCAGGGCUUUGUCUAGGAAGGUACAGGCGGCAAACUUGACUCUAUCAGACUCCGAACAGCCACAUAUUUCAAAGAUUGAUUCGAUUCUCUCGAACCAUCGGGUUAAAGCAAUGACACCCCCUGUGCCAUCGAAGAAUGUCGGUUUUGCGUUCAUGAAGUCUUUAUAGGAACCCCCUUUUUGGUGUCCCUGGCUAUCUUCUGGGUUUUGGGGUUGGGGAUCACCUCCUGAAUUUCUAGAGUUCAUUUGCGACAUGGCUGCUACCAUUGCAGCAGUCAGAACUGUCUGAAGCGAUGCAAGAUCAAGUUGAAGAGGAGGAUUGUUGUUGUUCGUUGAGCUGGGUCUCUUUCUUGGAGGCAUCGUGAUCUAACAAGAUCAGGAAAGAGAGGAUCAUAAGUCCUCUGAAUUGAAUCAAGAGAUAUGGGACAGGAGAUAUCUCAUCAAGGCAAAUAUAGCAUCAUACUAAGCGAUAAAGCAGAAAGGAGUUAUCAAGAUAGAACAUUUUAUCGCUAGAGGAAUGAUCAAGGAAUAACGCGUAUACAAGGAUUUCUACAAAGGAUCGGCUCGAGAAAUACUCCCAUAGUAUUUCAUGGUUCGCUGCAGCGACGAUUUGUUGUUUGGGAUAUUGGGUAAGUUUUAGGUAUGCCGCAUGCCACAGUCACUCCCAAGCACAUGUUGGCCGUGUCUCGAAUGAAUAUAGUUGGCCAGGCUAUAUUGACCCUAGACACGACUACAUAACUGCCCAGGUUUAACCGCAGUGUACAACACCCAUUUACUUAUGUUUUGUUCUACUUGUAGUUACGGAUUUCGACGGCUCGGCAUACUUAAAUACUUUUGAAAAUACUUAUAUCUUGUAGGAUACUUUUAGUUCAGAGCACUUAGGCCCCUUAAUGUUUAUAGUUUUAUACCAUGUAAGGUUUGGUAUACUCUGUUCACUAUAAACAAGGGCUCUGAUACCAAUCUGUCACACCCCGAAAACCAAAGGCGGAAACGUUCCCGGGGUUGACUCCAUGUUGUGUAUCAAAUCCAAUGUACAUAGUAAUCACAGUAAACAACCAUUACAUUACAUAUAUAUGAAAGUUUACAUUUGGUUCAAAAGUAAAUUGUACAAAAGUUAUACAUAUAUCAUAUGAACAAAAGAGACGAGUCUUCGGAGCACUCCGUCUUCACCAAAAGAUAUCGCCGGGUACCUGUCUAACUUGGACCUGAGAAUACAAGCAGUUUGAAAAUCAGCAUAAAGCUGGUGAGUUCAUAAGCGGUUUUGUUUUGUGAAAAUGUAUCGGUUUCCUUUAGUUUUCUGAAAAGAUUUGAUAUCCAAGAAAAUCCCAUAUUUUCUUAUGUAAAGUAGUUAAGUUAUCUUUCGUUACAGUUCUGUUACAGAUAUAAGUUAACCCCAGGAAAAUCCCAUAUUUUCCUAAUUGUAAGAUUGAUUAGAUAACACAUAGUAUAGUUUAAUUCACAAAACUAUAAUUUAGACGAACUGUAAAUAGAAAGUAUUUUGAAAACCUUGGGACUACAUCCCGAACCAGUUAUAAGAUAAUUCGAUAAAAACCAUGGGAUCACUAACCCGAAACUAGAUAUAAGAUAACUUGAUAAACCAUGGGAUCACUAUCCCGAAACUAGAUAUAAGAUAGUUUGAUAAAAUCAUGGGAUUAUCAUCCCGUAUAAGAUUUAGUUUCAAAACCAUGGGAUUGCCAUCCCGAACGAAAUAUAGACACAAGAUCAUGGGAUUAUCAUCCCGAACGAGAUAUAGACAUAAAACCAUGGGAUUACCAUCCCGAACGAGAUAUAGAUUACAAGACCAUGGGAUUACCAUCCCGAACAAGAUAUAGAUUCUAAACAGAUCCUAGCUGUGAAUAAGUUUAUAUUAAUACGUAUUGUGAGUCGGGUAACCAUGCUGAUAUGACAACGAGACCUCCUUGACGUUAGUCAGACGUCGAAUGAUAUCCAGAAUUUGUCACCCUAGGCGUGCCCGCCUAACUGUAGCUAGCAGUUAAGGUGUGGGAUUGUCAGUCCCGAAUAGAUCUAUUCACAAAUUCUUCGCUCUCCCUCCAGGAGACUCUGGUUACACUUCCGGAGAGGAUUUACUUGAUCAUCCAUAAAGGGUAGUGACUAUCUCACAAGCUAGUAUUAAACUAUUCACAGGAUUCUCAUACGAUAACAAACAUACAAA
rnacentral:lncRNA from 1 species